AUAAAGUGGAUGGGCAUAAAAUACUAUCUAUCUCUGUUAUCCCAGACACAAAGGUAGUGUCUGCACAAGGAACAGGCUGCUACUAUCCCAGGGAACCAUGAGCACAGAACUGGCAGCAGUUAUUUGAAUAAGGACCUAUCUGGUAGGAAGAAGAGCAUGACUUCAAAAUAAGGCGGUAUCUAAGAAUCAGACUUUGGAAACUGUUGAGAGAAAAAAUGAUAACAUUCAAGAGGGAAGUUUUAAGCCAAAGAUCCCGGAGCAAAAAGGAGAGAAAGGAGAUGUAAAGAAUCAAAUCACAGAAAGACAGGGUGGAAGGAAGCUUAAGAUGCCGCCCAGACCUUACUGGGCCGUCCUCACUGCUACCCCAAGGCAGGAUCAGGAGUACAUAGAUGCCUCAAGUCAUAAUGAAGAACGAAAAUGACAAUCUAUCCUGCAAGAUGGAAAUACUGAUGGAGCUUUCAGGGGAAGGAGUGGAAGUCAACUAAUUUGUUCCAGAAAUAUUUGCAGAGCUCACAGGUUCUUUGAGCAACAGACUACAAGACUGCCUGGAAGCUCCUCACACCCCAAACCUGGGAAGAUGCCUGCAGCCUCCCUGCAGUGCCAUGUCCCCAGGCUGUUGAAACUCCACAGCCCCUCGGCCACCACCAGCCUCCUGCCUCAACUGGCCCCUGGCGCUGCCUGUCUCUGAGGCACUCCAGCACCUGAGCUGCCCCAGAUCCUCGGCAGACAGUUCACCAGCUCCCAAGUAAACUGGUUCUUUGGCCUCCCUGGCCAGCCUAUUUCCACUGAAAGGCAGCUGUCUGUCCUUCCUGACUCCACUGGCACGUUAUUUUAUGUUCAGAGUAUCUCUAAGCAAGUCUGAUUUGUGACUUCUUUUAAGGCCAGUUUCUCAGCCUUAUUCUCAGAAUAGGCCUGUUUCGGCUGUCAUCUCUUUCUCCAAAACCAUUGCUGAAAGGAAGACACACUCCCUUGAACAAGUGCUCUCAAGUACUUCAGGUGCAAGCAACUGGAAAGAGGGCAGGAAUGGAUGGGCAGGUGUCCCCUGCUCUUGAGCAAUCCUGGGUCAUGUUCUCACUUCAACCAUGAUGCACAUUUUGAGGACAGGACUUUUCCGGACUGUUCCAUACAUAUCUCAUGGCAAGAGGAAGUGACUUUAUACAUCUACACCUCUGGGGAGCCAAGAAGAAGGAAAAAUCCUUAUGCCUGGGAUCAAUUAGAGAACACUUGCUUGGGCCCUAAGAAGUUGUUCUGGCAGCCGGUGGUUACUUGGACACAAUGCCUGCUUCAGCUGGUAUUUCUUUCAAGGAGGAGGUUCAUUAUUCUUGUACCUGAGGCCAGCAUUUCUGUGCCAAAGUCUGCCUAUUGAAUAAACCUUCAAACCUUCCCUCUAAACCACUUUCAUUUCAUGAUCAUUUUUUAAUGACAGGAAAACAACAUUUGUGAGAGUCCAUUUGUAAUAGUUAUUCUUCUUUUUCUCCUUCUCUUUUCUUUCCAAGUUGUAUGACUUGACCUUUUGUUCCUGAUGUUACAUGUCCAGCAGUGCAGAAUGGUGUAUUACAAGCAGCAAAAGGGUCUCAGUACACAGAGUUCAUAUUCAUUUCUCUUGAGAGUUUCUUAAAUACAUUUGAUUCCUGUGACAUGAAACUAGUUACUAAAUAAUUAAGAUUCAAAGAUUAGUGUUAUCAUUUCUCAUAAGGCUGCAGCCAGGCAGUGAGGGGGAGGAGGAAAGUAAUAAUGUGUGCUGUAAAUGACACUGAACAUGCCUGUUGUAAUGAAAAGUCACACUAUUUAUCAUGAUUUUGAGUUGAGAAAUUAAACUCAGUCAUUUUCUUUGGC